rnacentral:sRNA from 1 species
UAAUUGCGUAAGGGAUAGCAGUGGUUACCCCGCAGUGCUACGCUAAUAAUUCUAUUUCAUUAUAUAGAGAUAAAGCACUGCGGCGUAAAAACGAAUAGCCCGACCUCUU